rnacentral:rRNA from 1 species
GUCCUGUAUUCAGCGGCGGACGGGUGAGUAAUGCCUAGGAAUCUGCCUGGUAGUGGGGGACAACGUUUCGAAAGGAACGCUAAUACCGCAUACGUCCUACGGGAGAAAGCAGGGGACCUUCGGGCCUUGCGCUAUCAGAUGAGCCUAGGUCGGAUUAGCUAGUUGGUGAGGUAAUGGCUCACCAAGGCGACGAUCCGUAACUGGUCUGAGAGGAUGAUCAGUCACACUGGAACUGAGACACGGUCCAGACUCCUACGGGAGGCAGCAGUGGGGAAUAUUGGACAAUGGGCGAAAGCCUGAUCCAGCCAUGCCGCGUGUGUGAAGAAGGUCUUCGGAUUGUAAAGCACUUUAAGUUGGGAGGAAGGGUUGUAGAUUAAUACUCUGCAAUUUUGACGUUACCGACAGAAUAAGCACCGGCUAACUCUGUGCCAGCAGCCGCGGUAAUACAGAGGGUGCAAGCGUUAAUCGGAAUUACUGGGCGUAAAGCGCGCGUAGGUGGUUCGUUAAGUUGGAUGUGAAAUCCCCGGGCUCAACCUGGGAACUGCAUCCAAAACUGGCGAGCUAGAGUAUGGUAGAGGGUGGUGGAAUUUCCUGUGUAGCGGUGAAAUGCGUAGAUAUAGGAAGGAACACCAGUGGCGAAGGCGACCACCUGGACUGAUACUGACACUGAGGUGC